GACGAACGCUGGCGGCGUGCUUAACACAUGCAAGUCGAACGGAAAGGCCCUGCUUGCAGGGUACUCGAGUGGCGAACGGGUGAGUAACACGUGGGUGAUCUGCCCUGCACUUCGGGAUAAGCUUGGUAAACUGGGUCUAAUACCGGAUAGGAGCCAUCUUUAGUGUGGUGGUUGGAAAGUUUUUUCGGUGUAGGAUGAGCUCGCGGCCUAUCAGCUUGUUGGUGGGGUAAUGGCCUACCAAGGCGGCGACGGGUAGCCGGCCUGAGAGGGUGUACGGCCACAUUGGGACUGAGAUACGGCCCAGACUCCUACGGGAGGCAGCAGUGGGGAAUAUUGCACAAGGGGCGCAAGCCUGAUGCAGCGACGCCGCGUGGGGGAUGAAGGCCUUCGGGUUGAAAACUCCUUUCGCUAGGGACGAAGCUUUUUGUGACGGUACCUAGAUAAGAAGCACCGGCUAACUACGUG
rnacentral:rRNA from 1 species